GGAAGGGUGGCUGAGUGGUUAAAGGCACCUGACUCGAAAUCAGGAGAUGGGGCAACCCAUCCGUAGGUUCGAAUCCUACCCCUUCCGCCA
rnacentral:tRNA from 1 species